rnacentral:sRNA from 1 species
ACAAGGUUUCCGUAGGUGAACCUGCGGAAGGAUCAUUAACGCGCAGGCCGCGGACGGCCCUCCCCCGGAUGCCUCCGGGGGCGGUGUCGCCGGCCACACGCCCAUUCUUGUCUACUGCACCCGGUUGCCUCGGCGGGCCGCGCCCUCGAGCUCUGCCUCGAGGUGCCGUUCGGGGGGCCAGAUCCCUGGACCGCGCCCGCCGCAGGACUGACUCGAAACCCGAGAAUACCGUUCAGUCUGAGCGUUAGCAAGUGAAAUCAGUUAAAACUUUCAACAACGGAUCUCUUGGUUCCGGCAUCGAUGAAGAACGCAGCGAAAUGCGAUAAGUAAUGUGAAUUGCAGAAUUCCGUGAAUCAUCGAAUCUUUGAACGCACAUUGCGCCCCCUGGUAUUCCGGGGGGCAUGCCUGUUCGAGCGUCAUUUCAACCCCCUCAAGCCCGGCUUGUGUGAUGGACGACCGUCCGACCCUCCCCGCCUGCGGGGAGGGGGGACGCGCCCGAAAAGCAGUGGCCAGGCCGCGCUUCCGGCUCCUGGGCGAAUGGGCAACAAACCAACGCCCUCAGGACCGGCCGGCCCUCUGGCCCAGUUUCUUCCCCGUCGAGGACUUCGGCGCCUCGCGGACUCAAAAAGGUUGACCUCGGAUCAGG